UACGUAGGGGGCGAGCGUUGUCCGGAAUUAUUGGGCGUAAAGGGCGUGUAGGCGGUUCUGUAAGUUGGAUGUUAAAGGUAUGGGCUCAACUCAUACAUCGCGUCCAAUACUGCAGUUCUGGAGAUUGGUAGAGGGAAACGGAACUUCCGGUGUAGCGGUGAAAUGCGUAGAUAUCGGAAGGAACACCAGUGGCGAAGGCGGUUUCCUGGGCCAAUUCUGACGCUGAGGCGCGAAAGCUAAGGGAGCAAACAGG
rnacentral:rRNA from 1 species